AGGAAAACAAUGAUUAGAAUGACUGUAGAUUUCUCAUCAAAAAUAUGAAGAUCAAAAGAGUGAAAUAAAAACUGUAAGCACUGAAUGAAAAGAGCUGUCAACCCCCAAUUUUAUGUCCAGUGAAUAUAUCCAUCAGGAAAGAAGGCUAAAUAAAAGAGUCUUGCUCAGAUGAAGGUGUAAAACAACUAAAGUUUGCAGACCAAAACUAGAAAGGUGACUGGGCUAUGAGGGCAGCCAAUAUUUUGGCCCUGGCCCCCUCAAGGCCAACAAAGAUCUAGGACACAAAGGAACUUUUCCUGCAGGACCCUACAUCUUUGCUAUUUGCAAAUACCUGCAUAAUCUAAAGAGCAGAAGCUUACUGCUUGGAGCCCCCAAUGAAAAAAAGAAAGCUGUGAUUGGAUGUCAUUACUGCCAAUCAACUGGAGGAUAACAUAGGCUGUGACUUUUCAAGGGAGAGAUAAAAGGACCAGGUCACGACUUAGGUUGAAGAUGGCCUCCUUCUAAAGUGAACUCAGUUCCUAGGUUCAAAAGAAGAGGCUCAAUCUACCCAGAAUCCCUGAACCUCAAGUCCAGAUGCUUGGGAGAAAGAACAGAUUACCUGGGGCUGUGGGAGUCCAAAGUGAACACGGGGCUGCUUAGAG
rnacentral:lncRNA from 1 species